AGGGACGUAACUCAAUAGGUAGAGUAUCGGUCUCCAAAACCGAAUGUUAGGGGUUCAAUUCCCCUCGUCCCUGCCA
rnacentral:tRNA from 1 species